GUCGCAAUCAAUACAUUACAAGAGGUUCCUACCAGGAACGAUAUUCAACAUACAAAUUGCAUAAGAAAGUAUCAAAAACAUAAACAACUAAGUUAUUACAUGCAUUCAAUUCACUUAAUACAUUCUACAUCACAUAUUAUACUUUUCCUUUUCUUUUCUUUCAAAUACAAAUUUUUCUGAGCAUGCUUUUCAAAGUUAAUCGAAAAGCGAUAAAAA
rnacentral:lncRNA from 1 species